rnacentral:rRNA from 1 species
AGUGAACGCUGGCGGUAGGCCUAACACAUGCAAGUCGAACGGCAGCACAGUAAGAGCUUGCUCUUACGGGUGGCGAGUGGCGGACGGGUGAGGAAUACAUCGGAAUCUACUUUUUCGUGGGGGAUAACGUAGGGAAACUUACGCUAAUACCGCAUACGACCUACGGGUGAAAGCAGGGGAUCUUCGGACCUUGCGCGAGUGAAUGAGCCGAUGUCGGAUUAGCUAGUUGGUGGGGUAAAGGCCCACCAAGGCGACGAUCCGUAGCUGGUCUGAGAGGAUGAUCGGCCACACUGGAACUGAGACACGGUCCAGACUCCUACGGGAGGCAGCAGUGGGGAAUAUUGGACAAUGGGCGCAAGCCUGAUCCAGCCAUACCGCGUGGGUGAAGAAGGCCUUCGGGUUGUAAAGCCCUUUUGUUGGGAAAGAACAGCAGCAGGUUAAUACCCCGCUGUUCUGACGGUACCCAAAGAAUAAGCACCGGCUAACUUCGUG